rnacentral:tRNA from 1 species
GGUCGGUUGGAUGAGUUGGUUUAGUCGGUGGUCUGCAAAACCAUAUACCUCGGUUCGAAUCCGGGACUGACCUCA